rnacentral:lncRNA from 1 species
GAGUUUUAUAGUUGGCUAUGUUGAUAUAGCUUAGAAAAGGGAACAGAGACCGGAACAACACGGAAGGAAACAGAGAGGAAAGACUUAAAACCAGCUUUUCCGUGCUAACCAGAGCAGGAGGAAGGAGAGAUUAAACCCUGCUUUAGUAAAGGAAAGAAGGUCUUGAAGAGCCUUAACUUAAUACAGCUUUCAUAGGCCUUUCUUUCGGCUGGCAUAAGUGGCGAAGCAAGGUUAUCAGCUAAGGUGAAAAUGAUACGACUAAUAACCAUUAAUCGCCUUCGGAUAUUUACGCUUACUGGUCGUUCCUAAAGAG